CAGGGCGAUAGCGGUGGUCCACUUUAUAGUUACAGAUUGAACGAAUGGAACCUAAUAGGUAUCGUAAGCUGGGGCUAUGGAUGUGCCGACCCUGGUUACACCAGUGUCUACACUGACGUCAUGGUUGUCCGAGACUGGAUCAAUCGCAUCAUAAAUUAUUUGCCGGACGAUAUAAUUGGAUAAGGGUCUUACUACUGUCAUUUCUACACAAAUAUUGUACACAAAUAAAAAUAUUGAGAAACAACAA
rnacentral:sRNA from 1 species